AUGGCGAUCCGUCUCCUGUCGCGUCAAAAUCUGAGGAAGCUGGCUGCUUCCUUCACACUCCUUAAUCCAUCCCAGAAGAUACUGCUUUCACCUCCCCCUCCUGCUCACAGAUCUGAUGCUAUUUCCCCUAGCAAAUGCUUAAGCCCCUUUUACCCGUCUAUGUAUUCACGGGGUGUUAGAUGGGCUAGCUAUGAAUCAGUGAAUCUGGUUUUGUCUGAUGAUGGGAAACCCAAGUUUGAGAUUGAGGAGGUGGAGCCUUCGAAGAAGGGGAGGUUUUUAACAAAGAGGCGUUUGAAGCUUCAGAGGAAGCGGGAAAAGAGGAAGAGGAAGGAGGCCAAUAAAAACGAUCCACGCCGUAUCAGACCCAAGGGGAAAAAAAUAAAACAGAAAUUUCCUACACCUGAAGCUCGGCUCAAAUACAAGAUCGAGAAGUCCAAAUUAAAAGAAGCUAUGUUGGUUGAGAAGCUAAAGAGGUAUGAGGUUGCGAAAGCUGAAGGCCCCGUCGCCAAACCAGACGAUCUUGAUGGUGAGGAAAGAUUUUAUUUGAAGAAAGUUUCACAGAAAAAGUCAAACUAUGUCCCGAUUGGAAGGCGAGGAGUAUUUGGGGGUGUAAUUCUGAACAUGCAUUUGCACUGGAAGAAACAUGAGACUGUCAAGGUCAUCUGUAAGCCCUGCAAACCAGGGCAAAUCCAGGAGUAUGCAAAUGAGAUAGCUCGGCUUAGUGGUGGUGUCCCUAUUAAUGUUAUUGGAAAUGACACCAUAGUCUUCUACCGAGGAAAGGACUAUGUUCAACCAGAAGUCAUGUCACCAAUUGAUACACUGUCAAAGAAAAAGGCACUUGAAAAAUCAAAAUAUGAACAAUCGCUGGAGACAGUUCGGCGUUUCAUCGCAAUCUCUGAAAAGGAGCUCGAACUAUACUAUCGGCAUGUUGCACUCUAUGGAAAACCACAACCCCAGAAUGCUGAUCUGGCUCAUGGUGGUGGCAUCCAAGCUUCUUCACUGGAAACAGAGGAUAUGAAGCACGGAAAGGAUCAAGCUUUCUCUGAUGUUGACAUCAUGGAUACAUCCGAGUCUGAUGAGGAACAUGAUUCUAGUAGUGAAUCUGAUGCCAAUGAUGUUGCAACUGGAGAUGCUACAGACAGCCCUGAAGAUACUGAUGUUUCUGAUCAUCAGCUGUUCUAG
rnacentral:rRNA from 1 species